rnacentral:rRNA from 1 species
UACGUAGGGGGCUAGCGUUGUCCGGAAUCAUUGGGCGUAAAGAGCGUGUAGGCGGUCCGGUAAGUCCGCUGUGAAAGUCGGGGGCUCAACCCUCGAAUGCCGGUGGAUACUGGCGGGCUAGAGUGCGGAAGAGGCGAGUGGAAUUCCUGGUGUAGCGGUGAAAUGCGCAGAUAUCAGGAGGAACACCUAUUGCGAAGGCAGCUCGCUGGGACGUAACUGACGCUGAGACGCGAAAGCGUGGGGAGCAAACAGG